rnacentral:rRNA from 1 species
UACAGAGGUCUCAAGCGUUGUUCGGAUUCAUUGGGCGUAAAGGGUGCGUAGGUGGCGCUGUAAGUCAGGUGUGAAAUUUCGGAGCUUAACUCCGAAACUGCAUUUGAUACUACGGUGCUUGAGGACUGGAGAGGAGACUGGAAUUUACGGUGUAGCAGUGAAAUGCGUAGAGAUCGUAAGGAAGACCAGUGGCGAAGGCGGGUCUCUGGACAGUUCCUGACACUGAGGCACGAAGGCCAGGGGAGCAAACGGG